UUCUGUGACUGACAUCUUUAUAUUUCUUGUUUAUCAAUAAUUAAUAUUCUCAUUAUUAAGAGGAUUUUAGCUUUUAAAACCCAUGUUCUCUGCACAUUUUUCAUUAUGAAGGCAAGUUCCUCAAUGAGAGUUUGGUGCUGUGCCUCAUGUUCCUUUAAUCAUUCCUAUACUUCCCCAAGCAAUGGUCAUACCUGCCCUCAUCUGUGAUAAUAUUUGUAACUUUGAACACUUUUCAAUUCCAAGCCUGUGGGAUUAUCUGAUAUUUCCCUUUUUAUUCUAAUUAGCUAUAUUACAGCAAAGUCACCUGAAUUUAGCAUCUUAAAAAGAACACUAUAUGUUUCACCUGCUCCAGCUACAGACCUAAAACUCUAAUGGGAACUGGGUUUGUUAUUGCUCCUGGGAUGAAAUCAUUGCUAACUGAAGGGAACAUAUUCUAGCACAUGUAGUCUUGAAGUUGGGAAUGGGUGUACAAUGUGAUAUGCUUAUUUACAAGUCUAGGGAAGAUUUUUAUGUCAUCCUAGAUGGAAAUCGGAAUAGGCUAGUCUUUCUGUUUCAUCCGACCUUACUGAGAAAGUAGCUCAUUGUAGUUUCACAAUGGCCCUUGCUUCCUACUUAGGUAAACCACUUCCUGAACCUACCUCUUGCUGGGCUGUACACUCUUGAUGAAUUCUGCCCUCAAAAUACACACCCUGAACACCAAGCCUCUGACAAUAAUUAUGUGAAGUACAAACUACUUUCAAUUGCACCAGGGCAUUACUAUUACUCAUAAUUUACAACAAUUUUUAUCAUCACCUCUCUAGUUAUCUGUCUGAGGGAUUUUCAUCUUUAUUUUCUAGGUAUAAAUGUCUUGACAUUAAUCAAAUGUAUCAGUAUUUAUUCAAUCAAGAUAAACAUAGGCUUAAAGGGAGCCUGAUGGAGACUGAUGACUGUUGAUCACUUGGUUCUUCUCUUUGGUUUUACAACCAGCCAUUCUCCAAAUUUGCUAAAUACCUUUGGUUGGAGUCAACUUACAGUUGCUUUUUAUCGCCACAAUUUGAUUCAUAAAUGGAAAAAUAAAGUACCAGUGUCUUGGCAUAUUAAGCAAAGCCUUGCUCACCCCUUUCCUUGGGUUAACCUGUCAGCUUCACUGCAGCAUGAGGCGAUAUCCUUUUACAAUUAGGUCGUGUGCACUUUCUGACUGGAAUUUCCCUUAAAAAGUGUUCACCUAAGUCAUUUUUUUAAUAAUCUGUAAUCUAUAAAAAGCUAUGAAAGAACCACAUUGUCUUACUUCUCGUAAAUAUUAUCACUACCCAGAGUUUCAUUUUUAAACAAAACUACUAUUGUUACGGGUAAUUUGAAGGUUUCUUGUUGUUGUUGUUGCUGUUGUUUGAAUAAUUAAGCCAUUUCCUGCUCUUGUGCAAGCUUUAAAGUCAAGAGUUGGGGUACCAGACUCUAAUCACUACACAAAACUUGAAAAGAAUCAGUGGCCUUCUAGUUUCUGUCUCACAUGUUCAGAAAAUGAGAUGCAUAAGUCAUUAAGAAUGAGUGUAUGGUUUUAUAGAACACUU
rnacentral:lncRNA from 1 species